rnacentral:rRNA from 1 species
AUUGAACGCUGGCGGCAGGCCUAACACAUGCAAGUCGAACGGUAACAGGAAACAGCUUGCUGUUUCGCUGACGAGUGGCGGACGGGUGAGUAAUGUCUGGGAAACUGCCUGAUGGAGGGGGAUAACUACUGGAAACGGUAGCUAAUACCGCAUAACGUCGCAAGACCAAAGAGGGGGACCUUCGGGCCUCCUGCCAUCGGAUGUGCCCAGAUGGGAUUGGCUGGUAGGUGGGGUAACGGCCCACCUAGGCGAGGAUCCCUAGCUGGUCUGUGAGGAUGAACAGCCAGAUUGGAACUGGGACACGGUCCAGACUCCUACAGGAGGCAGCAGUGGUGAAUAUUGCACAAUGGGCGCGAGCCUGAUGCAGCCAUGUCGCGUGUAUGAAGAAGGCCUUCGGGUUGUAAAGUACUUUCAGCGGGGAGGAAGGGAGUAAAGUUAAUACCUUUGCUCAUUGACGUUACCCGCAGAAGAAGCACUGGCUAACUCCGUGCCAGCCGCCGCAGUAA